UGACCCCUGUAUUUAGGAUAACUCAGGGUUAAACUAUCAAUCCUGAUCAGAUCAUUCGAAUUGUGCUCAACUCAAAUAGUCCUAUGACUCCUCACUAGGACUACCCUGGCCAAGAUUUUGCUAAAUUGAAACACGAUUGUACACAGCUCCUGAACUAGAGUGGUCAAUCCCAUCUUGACACACGCACCGACAGUCAAGUACUUGACUACACCUAGCAUCCUUCCGUCACUGAAUUAGAAAUUCAGGUAGUCCAGUGCCUAAGUAUAGUGAGUUGCUUGCAAGUCACCAUGACGGUCUCAGGUCGGAGGGAUAUUUAUACCCAUAUCCCAUCGGAGCAAAUCUUGAUAGCAGAAAUAACUCUGAAGUCGGUCAUGUUCAGUACAGAUGUACCCUUACAUCUCACUUAUAUGCCAUACUAGUGUCUCCACACU
rnacentral:lncRNA from 1 species